GUGUUAGUAUUUUAAUUGGUUAGAAGUCUUGACUGUGAAUCAAGAGGGUAUGGGUUCAAAUCCCAUCUAACACCCCA
rnacentral:tRNA from 1 species